ACUUUCCAAGCGCGAUGUCACGUGCGUGUUCGCUAAAGCUCAACAUCUCACCAACGCUGAGAUGACAUCGAUCUCUUCUCCGUUGGAUCAAUCUCACAGUUCUUCUUCUCCGUCAAAUUUGCCGCCGUAAAAGAAUGACCACUGCCACAUUUCAUCAAACCAUUGGAACCAAUCAAAUCUAUGGAUCGUUCAACGAUUCUGGUUCUCGCACUGGAUUUAGAAUUUUCUCUAUGAUGUCUCUUUCAAAUACCUUACGGAUCCAUCCUGGAUUAUUGAGAAAAAGAACUCUCAGCUCAAGCCAGUGUAAGUCAUGUAUAAUUGAAGCAUCAAAAUUUCAUUUGUCAGUGGUAGAUCCAAUGUUAUCCUCGUCACACAGCACCACGGAUGAUUCAUGGAAGACUUCAAAUGAAUCUGCUUUAAUCUUGAUUCGACACGGUGAGUCGAUGUGGAAUGAGAAGAACUUGUUCACUGGAUGUGUUGAUGUGCCGUUGACCAAAAAUGGCAUUGAUGAAGCAAUUGAAGCUGGUAAAAGAAUUAGCAACAUACCUGUUGACGUUAUCUACACAUCUGCACUGAUUCGUGCUCAGAUGACCGUUAUGCUUGCCCUGACCCAACACCGAUGCAAGAAGGUGCCAAUAAUUAUGCAUAAUGAGAAUGAACAGGCCAACUCAUGGAGUCAAAUUUAUAGUGAAUCGAUCAAGAAACAAUCCAUUCCAGUUGUAACAGCUUGGCAAUUGAAUGAAAGAAUGUAUGGGGAGUUGCAGGGCCUUAAUAAGCAGGAGAUGGCUGAAAUGUGUGGAAAGGAGCAAGUCCAUAAGUGGCGUAGAAGUUAUGAUGUUUCUCCCCCUGGUGGGGAGAGCUUGGAAAUUUGCUAUCAAAGAGCUGUUGCUUAUUUCAGAGAGCAUGUAAGGAUGGCUAUAUGCAUCCUUUGUAAUAUCCUAGAUUGGAAUGCUGUAAUUUAUAGUCAGAUAUUGAUUGAGCCCCAACUUUCGUCUGGAAAGCAUGUGAUGGUCGUUGCCCAUGCUAAUUCACUGAGGUCUAUUAUAGUGUAUCUUGACAAAUUAACUUCUCAGGAGGUUAUCAACCUAGAACUAUCAACUGGAAUACCAAUGCUUUACAUGUAUAAAGAAGGGGAAUUCAUCAGACGGGGAAGUCCCCCAGGAUCUAAAGAGGCUGGUGUUUAUGCUUAUUGUAGGAGUUUGGCCCUUUACAGACAAAAGUUGGAUGAAAUGUCCUAUUGAAUAAUUGAGGAAGAGACGAAGAAGAUUCAAGACCUGACAAGGCACUUCAGACCCGAGAAUUUCUAAAAUUAGGCAUUCUCACGCUUCCGUUUCUGCCCCUAUUUUGUAUCUUGGUCGUAGUACGACCAUGUCGGACACGCGGCACGCCAUACUUUGGACACAUGUAUGGAAUAUGUAUCCGAUGCUUUUAAUUGGACAGUUGGAAGUCGUAGAUUAAAAGAAAAUAGAAGAAGAAGAAGAAUUUGUUACAUGGAGGAAGGAAGAAGAGCAUGUGGUGUGGUGAGCAAAUGGUAUAAUUCAUGAAUGCAUUGCACAAAACUUUCUACACAAAGCAAGCAGCUAUUACGGACCCUUUUUAACAGCUUGUUCUAUUGGGCAUCUAAACUAUUUUCAUUUUUCUAAGAAACUUGAAGAAAAUAUAGGGUUGACGAUGCCCAUAGUUUGAAUUUAUCCAGAAACAGGAACUCCAGAAGUGUUCAAAUAUGUCAUUGUUGUGCAUCAUAAGGGUGUACAGUGGACCAAGUAUAUAUUGAAAUUGCACUAGUCAAUGAUGAAACACAGUUAGCUUCACCAGAAUGAUGAUUGAUUGUAUCAUUAUUGUAUAUCAUUUAAUGUACAACAAUGACAUCCGUGGGUUCACGUUAACAGAUCAGACUUGACCUUGAACUGUGUGAAUGUGAUUUUAUCAAGAGAAAUAUAAACAAUUUAA